rnacentral:tRNA from 1 species
CGGGGCGUGGCCCAGCUUGGCUAGGGCGCUACAAUGGGGUUGUAGAGGCCGACGGUUCAAAUCCGUCCGCCCCGA